UGAGCACAUAAGGUCAGCCCCAUUUGCACACCAGAAGGAGCAUUAGCAGACCAAGUUCAGCCUAAUGGAACAGAAGCCAAAGGGCCUAGAUUCAUUAUCCGGAGGAUCCAACGGUCCGUGGGGUUCAUAGCAGCAUGCCCAUUAUCUCCCAGCAUCUCGUGCGUCCCAGCUCCCGUGCACAAUCUCAGGCAUCCAUUUGAAGGAGCUCGUGAUUCAGCAUCCAAACCUCAUCCGUCCGGGAGCCCGUGUGCGAUUUUCCAGCAUCCCUUCCGAACCACCAUCCACAUCUUCUGGAUUAGCAAUCAACAUGUCCGAGUCUGCAAUCUCAGCAGGACCCGCAUCCCGCAUCUGGAUACUCCGCAUCACCCUUCUUCUUCAAGCAAUCCCAGCAUCCCGUGAAGCGUUGCAACCGUCCGUGAGUAUCUUCAGUUGAGCCCAUGUCACACGCGUCCGCCCGAAGCAUCUGAGUCUCAGCCCCCAGCAAAGGUCACACGCGUCCAUCCGAGUCCUAUCUUCCCUUCCGCAUCCCAUGCUUCAGGAUCCACGAUCAGAUCCCCCAAGCGAUCACGAUCUUCUGGAGUCUCAGGUCCCAGUCAUCCCGUCCGCCUCUUCUGCAUCUCAUCCCAAGCGCUAGCAGUCCAAAUCUUCUACACACGAUCAGCAUCUGCGUCCAGCUCUCAUGCUUUCCCAUCCUUCCAUCCCAGUGUCCGGGAUACUCGGCAGCUAGCACGAGAGGAGCAUCCCGUGUGAUCAGGGAAUCCAUCGGGGGUAUAUAGCGAGAUCUCUCCCUUGAUUGAAGGGGGCGGAUCUCUCUGAUUCGAAAAAAUAGAGCUCUGCCAUUCAAAAAAAAAGAAAAGGGAGAAACAGAGCAAUGCACUGUUUUCCGAAAAUAAAAGAAAAAAAAAGAGGGAGGCUAAUGUCUUUAAUGAGAGGCUGAUUUACUAGGUGAUGGGUGAAGGAAGAUCCUUUGAUAUACCGAG
rnacentral:lncRNA from 1 species